GGAUGAACGCUGGCGGCGUGCCUAAUACAUGCAAGUCGAGCGAACGGACGAGAAGCUUGCUUCUCUGAUGUUAGCGGCGGACGGGUGAGUAACACGUGGAUAACCUACCUAUAAGACUGGGAUAACUUCGGGAAACCGGAGCUAAUACCGGAUGAUAUUUUGAACCGCAUGGUUCAAAAGUGAAAGACGGUCUUGCUGUCACUUAUAGAUGGAUCCGCGCUGCAUUAGCUAGUUGGUAAGGUAACGGCUUACCAAGGCAACGAUGCAUAGCCGACCUGAGAGGGUGAUCGGCCACACUGGAACUGAGACACGGUCCAGACUCCUACGGGAGGCAGCAGUAGGGAAUCUUCCGCAAUGGGCGAAAGCCUGACGGAGCAGCGCCGCGUGAGUGAUGAAGGUCUUCGGAUCGUAAAACUCUGUUAUUAGGGAAGAACAUAUGUGUAAGUAACUGUGCACAUCUUGACGGUACCUAAUCAGAAAGCCACGGCUAACUACGUG
rnacentral:rRNA from 1 species